UACAUGGAGUUUACAUCGAAUGUUUACGAGUGAUUAACAUCGAAAUAUUUACGAGGAUUUUACAUCGAAAUGUUUACGAGUGAUUUACAACGAAAGUAUUUACGUUUGCUUUACAUCGAAAUAAUUACGUGGGCUUUACGACGAAGUCUUACGUGGCAUUUACGACGAAUACUUUCCCUGCUCUUUACGAGGAAUAUAUUUCGUCGUAAACGUAACGAGUCGUUUACGACGAAACCUCCGUUACGACGGACGUUUAACAACGAAACGUCUUUCGACGUUAAUUCGUCGUAACACCCCGUUUACGACGAAUUUACAACGAAUACUGCCUUAGUAAAAAAUAUGUUUUCUUGUAGUGAAAUAUUGAAAAUGUAAAACCAAGGAAAUUUUUAUAACACCUCCUCUUUUUACGGUGCAGUUUUUAUGGAUAACCAUGUGAUUUAUUUACCCAAAAUAACAAUAGAAGAGUUAUAUUACAGCAUAAUAGUUACAUGCAUAAGCCAUUCCAUCUAAGACAAAAAAAAAAGGUAAAGGGAAACACAAAGAAAAAUAAAUGUAAAUAGUUGGCUCGGCCGCUCUUUUCCUGAUUUGCUUGUUAAUUUCAAUAGGAAUGCUAAAUUCUCGCCCUACCAGAACUAAUCCGUAUUGUAAAAAACUUCCGGCCGCUUAUGCACCAGCUGAUGCCUGUACCAAACCAAAUUUUGAUGUGGUGUGUCUAUCGGCUUGCAAAAAAGAGCAUUUACCUAAAGGAAAAUGAAGAAGAAGGAAACAAUAGUGGAAAAAAAAAAGUACAUUGCCGUAAUCUCUCCCUGAUAAUAGUAGACAUAGCUUUCUCGUCACAGGUCACGCAAAUGCCGCAUUCUGAUAUCGUAGACGUGUUUUUGGAAUUUAGUCCGAAGAGCUUUUGUGAACAAGUCAGCUGGAUUGUCGCAUGACUGUACAUACUCGAUGUCUACUUCUUUAUUUUUCUCGAGCUCCCUUAUGUAUGAGAAAAAUCUAGGAGGGAUGUGCUUUGUUCUGUCGCUUUUGAUAUAACCUUCUUUAAGUUGAACAACACAAGCCGAAUUGUCUUCAAAUAAUUUCGUCGGCUCUUUCUCAUUGACUAUUCGGCUUGAUUCUUGUAUGUGGUACCUCAUUGAGCGAGGCCACACACAUUCUCGACAUGCUUCGUGAAGCGCGAUAGUUUCUGCAUGAGUCGAUGAAGUUCCAACCAGAGUUUAUUUCUGGGAUCGCCAAGAGACCACGGUUCCACCAAUUGUAAAAACAUAGCCGGUUUGCGAUCGGGCCUUAUGAGGAUCUGAUAAGUAUCAUGCAUCUGCAAAACCAACCAUACCAAACUCGGGUUUUCUACAAUACAUCAUCUCUAAAUCAAGUGUACCUUGGAGGGAACAGAUAUAUUCUCGACGCGUUCUAAUUUCCAUGAAUAGGAAAUGAGUUGUAUCUUGCAAAGACAUUAGUCACUACAAGAAAACAUAACCUUAACGAGGGCGGUUUUCCUCGUUAU